rnacentral:rRNA from 1 species
UACGAAGGGGGCUAGCGUUGCUCGGAAUCACUGGGCGUAAAGGGUGCGUAGGCGGGUCUUUAAGUCAGGGGUGAAAUCCUGGAGCUCAACUCCAGAACUGCCUUUGAUACUGAAGAUCUUGAGUUCGGGAGAGGUGAGUGGAACUGCGAGUGUAGAGGUGAAAUUCGUAGAUAUUCGCAAGAACACCUGUGGCGAAGGCGGCUCGCUGGGCCGGUCCUGACGCUGAGACGCGAAGGCGUGGGGAGCAAACAGG